CCUACGGGUGGCAGCAGUGAGGAAUAUUGGUCAAUGGCCGGAAGGCUGAACCAGCCAUGCCGCGUGAAGGUCAGUGCCCUAUGGGCGUUAAACUUCUUUUGUGCGGGAGCAAUAAUGGUCACGUGUGGCCAGACGAGAGUACCGUACGAAUAAGCAUCGGCUAACUCCGUGCCAGCAGCCGCGGUAAUACGGGGGAUGCAAGCGUUAUCCGGAUUUAUUGGGUUUAAAGGGUGCGUAGGCUGGGUGGUAAGUCAGCGGUGAAAUGCCCCCGCUCAACGGGGUGAAGUGCCAUUGAUACUGCCUGGCUGGAAUGCGGAUGCCGUGGGAGGAAUGUGUGUUGUAGCGGUGAAAUGCAUAGAUAUCACACAGAACACCGAUUGUGAAGGCAUCUCACGAAUCCGCGAUUGACGCUGAUGCACGAAAGCGUGGGUAUCAAACAGGAUUAGAUACCCCUGUAGUC
rnacentral:rRNA from 1 species